rnacentral:RNase_P_RNA from 1 species
GGGCAGUUACGCACGGCCCGACCGUGUGAGGAAAGUCCGGGCUCCGCAGAGCGGGAUAACGGCUAACGGCCGCCGAGGGUGACCUUAAGGGAAAGUGCAACAGAGAGAUACCGCCGGCUUUUUUCAACAGGAAAUUAACGCCGGUAAGGGUGGAAAGGCGAGGUAAGAGCUCACCGGCGCAGCGGAGACGUUUGCGUCCUGUAAACCCUAUCCGGAGCAACACCGACAGGAGUGGCUUGCUCGGCCCAUACUCCGACGGGUGGCGUGAGCGCGGAAGUAAUUCCGCGCCAAGACAGAUGACUGCCUUCAAUGACAGAACCCGGCUUACAGUUCCACUG